rnacentral:lncRNA from 1 species
UUUGCCUGUUGGGGCUCGGGGGCAGUAUUGAGACAUUUUGAAAAAAAUAUGUGCCCAUUUUUAACUGCCUCCUACACCAACUCAGAAGCUAGGAUAUGCAUAUUAUUAACACAUUCGGAUAGAAAACACUCUGAAUUUUCUAAAACAGUUUGAAUGGUGUCUGUAAGUAUAACAAAACUCAUAUUGCAGGCAAAAACCUGUGAAAAAUAGAUCAAAAAAAAUGUGAAUUUUGUGACUGUAAUAUUUAGUGUCAUUGUUUUAUAGAUACCAUAGUGAGAAAGGAUUCAUUUCGCAACACCUACGGCUUCCACUAGAUGUCAACGAUCUUUAUAAAGUUGUUUGAAGCGUCUAUGAUAAACAGAGAGCAAAUUAGAAUCCAAGGAAGUUGACAUGUCAUCACUUCAUUUUUUUGCGCCUGCGCAUAAAUCUGAGAAACGUGAGUUUUGUCUUCAUUGUUUAUCUCGACAUAGGAUAGGUUGUGUGAAAAUAUUACUGAUGUUUAACGUUAAAAAUGGACCAAAAGAUUAAUGCUAAACAACAUUUGACAUGUUUGAACGAACAUAAAUAGAUUAUUUACUAGUUUUUUUUAGCUUUUCGGCGUGAUUUUACAGUCCCCCACCACGUUUUGUGGGAGCAUAAUGAACGCUAAGUACUUGGUGUUAUUUGGACAUAAAUUAUGAACUUUGUCAAAAGAAACCACAUUUGUUCCGGACCUGGGAUGCCUUCCGGACCUGGGAUGCCUGUCUUCUGAUGGAGAUAAUCAAAGGUGCUGUUUCCUCCAGUCAGGAUGGGAUCUCUGCAGCAGAGGUGGAGAUGAGAGUCAGACCAGGAGACAACAUCACUCUCUACUGUGACUGUAACAUAACUUCUGGAAUAUACAUUAUGUGGUAUAGGAACUGUUCUCACAAGUACCAGCCUCCUCUUGUUAUUUUAACUACGUUUUUAAGUUCCAUCUCUCUCCCUGGAUUUAAUGUGUUAUGGAACCCCUCUAACAACUCCUAUGAUCUACUGAUUGAGAACAUCACUGAAUCUGACCUGGGACUCUACUACUGUGGGACUGUGGAGUACAAGGUGGAAGAAGGAAAACGAAUGAAAUAUAAAGAGUUGUUCCACUAUGGAAACAUCACCACUCGGAUUUCACUUGAAACCAGUCCUCCUGCCAGUCUAUUGCCAGAAACCAGUCCUCCUGACUGUCUAUUGCCAGAAAUCAGUCCUCCUGAGCCAUCCUCCUCCUCCCCUCCUCCUGUAGACUGUGGUCUGUGUUGGAUGUUGCUGUUCAGUCUGUGUCCUGUAUCUGCUCUCCUCUACUCCGCCUGUGUUUACUCCUUUUACAGAACAACAGCUCCAACUGAGACUCAGGUUCCUCUGAACAAGACCACCACCAGGGGAAUUGACAGCAGAGAGCAGACUACUGUCAAAUACAUACACAUCUAUCAAUACCAGCAGAGUGUGAGACCUAUACCAUCCAUCAAUACCAGCAGAGUGUGACCAAUACCAUCCAUCAAUACCAGCAGAGUGAGACCUAUACCAUCCAUCAAUACCAGCAGAGUGUGACCAAUACCAUCCAUCAAUACCAGCAGAGUGAGACCUAUACCAGCCAUCAAUACCAGCAGAGUGAGACCAAUACCAUCCAUCAAUACCAGCAGAGUGUGAGACCUAUACCAUCCAUCAAUACCAGCAGAGUGAGACCUAUACCAUCCAUCAAUACCAGCAGUGUGAGUCCUAUACCAUCCAUCAAUACCAGCAGAGUGUGAGACCUAUACCAUCCAUCAAUACCAGCAGAGUGUGAGACCUAUACCAUCCAUCAAUACCAGCAGAGUGUGAGACCUAUACCAAUGUAGCUGGGAGGAAAUUAUUUUUAAGAGUUACUUAUUUUUUUUUUUACCUUUUCAUACAAGUGAUUUAUUUGUACACUUUUGGCUGUAACCUUUUAAUAAUAAUAACAAUAGUGAUUUAGAAAAUGUGGUUAAGAUCAGGGAAUAAUGGUUAAAUAGCUGUUGUUACAGUCUUAGUUUGUAAUUCUAGGUGUUAAAGUUCAUUGUUUUCCAUUUGUAAGUGUAUUGAUAUGUGUUAAUGUAGCUGAAUAAAUAUUGAUUCAGUUUAAUUACAUUUUAUUUAGUUAUUUAUUUGUCUCCCCUUAACUUCUCUUAGAGCGCGAGGUCAUUAUAUUUGGUUUGACAAACGCUCCAGCAAACCAAUCAGAGCUAUUUGAGGGUGUGGCUUAGAUGUGAAGGGUUGAGACUUUGGUGAAGAAGGUGUGGCUUAGAAAUAAAGAGGGUGUGGCUUUAGAGGAUGACAGAGAUGCAUGUAAAGAGCAUGGAGGUUAAGGGGUGUGAUUUAUAUGUUAAGAGGUGUGAUUUAUAUAUUAAGGGGUGUGAUUUAUAUGUUAAGGGGUGUGAUUUAUAUGUUAAGGGGUGUGAUUUAUAUGUUAAGGGGUGUGAUUUAUAUGUUAAGAGGUGUGAUUUAAAUGUUAAGGGGUGUGGUUUAUAUGUUAAGGUGUUAUUUAAAUGUUAAGGGGUGUGGUUUAUAUGUUAAGGGGGGGAAUUUAUAUGUUAAGAGGUGUGAUUUGAAUGUUACGGUGUGUGAUUUAUAUGUUAAUGUGUGUGGUUUAUAUGUUAAAGUGUGAUUUAAAUGUUAAGGGGUGUGGUUUAUAUGUUAAGGUGUGAUUUAAAUGUUAAGGGGGGUGGUUUAUAUGUUAAGGGGUGUAAUUUAUAUGUUAAGAGGUGUGAUUUAAAUGUUAAGAUGUGUGGUUUUAGUGGAAUACAGAGUUGUUGAGUAGAACCAGAGUAGUUUCUAUGGUUUCAUAAACAUGAAGCCCAGGGCUCUUUAACCCUGUUCCUGGAAAACUACCAUCCUGUAGGUUUUCACUCCAACCCUAAUCUAGCACAAUAAUAUUUAGCUCGUUGAUGAACUGAUUCGGGUUAGUUACAACUGGGGUUGGAUAUCCCUGACCCUGUAUAUGGUUGAACAUUUUAAGUUUUAAAUGAAGCUCCGUGAAGCUUUCAGUGAAAGCACAUUAUCAAUAGAGUUACAUAGUGAAACCAGGUUAAUUAUACUACAUUAUCAAUGGAGUUACAUAGUGAAAUCAGGUGAAUUAUACCACAUCAUUAGAGUAACAUAGUGAAAUCAGGUUAAUUAUACCACAUUAUCAAUAGAGUUACAUAAUGUAAUCAGGUUAAUUAUACUACAUUAUCGAUAGAGUUACAUAGUAACAUCAGGUUCAUUGUAUCACAUUAUCGAUAGAGUUACAUAGUAACAUCAGGUUCAUUGUAUCACAUUAUCAAUGGAGUUACAUAGUGAAAUCAGGUUAAUUAUACCACAUUAUCAAUAGAGUUACAUAGUGAAAUCAGGUUAAUUAUACCACAUUAUCAACAGAGUUACAUAGUGAAAUCAGGUUAAUUAUACCACAAAACAGUAGUCUCUGAAAAAGCAUGAUUUAAUUCCAGAAGAUAACCAUUACAUGUAUUUUCACCAAAUACUAAUCAUACAUGAAAAGUAGAUAAUUUCAUCUGAAUGAAGAGCAGAUACAACAGAAAGUGCAUGUUCAAUCUAUUAAAAGUAGAAAAUAAAUGUAAAAACUUUGAAUGUAACCAAAUUAAAGCCUUUUGGUGACACUUCCUUAGUGGUUGGCAUUUUCUGAUCAAUAUCUGCAUUUUUCCCAGAUCAGAUUACCACAGUAGAACAGUCCCAGAUCAGAUCAUCACAGUAGUACAGUCCCAUGUCAGAUUACCAAAGUAGUAGAGUCCCAGGUCAGAUUACCACAGAAGUAGAGUCCCAAGUAAGAUUUCCGCAGUAGCAGAGUACCAGUUCAGAUUACAACAGUAUUAGAGUCCCCAG